AGUGAACGCUGGCGGUAGGCCUAACACAUGCAAGUCGAACGGCAGCACAGUAAGAGCUUGCUCUUACGGGUGGCGAGUGGCGGACGGGUGAGGAAUACAUCGGAAUCUACUUUUUCGUGGGGGAUAACGUAGGGAAACUUACGCUAAUACCGCAUACGACCUACGGGUGAAAGCAGGGGAUCUUCGGACCUUGCGCGAUUGAAUGAGCCGAUGUCGGAUUAGCUAGUUGGCGGGGUACAGGCCCACCAAGGCGACGAUCCGUAGCUGGUCUGAGAGGAUGAGCAGCCACACUGGAACUGAGACACGGUCCAGACUCCUACGGGAGGCAGCAGCGGGGAAUAUUGGACAAUGGGCGCAAGCCUGAUCCAGCCAUACCGCGUGGGUGAAGAAGGCCUUCGGGUUGUAAAGCCCUUUUGUUGGGAAAGAAAAGCAGCAGGUUAAUACCCCGCUGUUCUGACGGUACCCAAAGAAUAAGCACCGGCUAACUUCGUG
rnacentral:rRNA from 1 species